GGCUAAUGAUGGUAGAAAAAUAUUUGCUACUCUUGAUGGGAUAUACCCAUUUGAUGAUUUUUUUAUCACCAAGAUCUCUGAGGUCACUAUUUUUCAAAUUGAUUAAUUUUGUACUUCAAGAAUUUAUAUUAUUAUUGUUAUGUCCUAUGUUGGUUAUUGUUUUUUAUAUUUGAAUUAUUAGUAAUUGAGAGUAUAACGAUGAUGAGUCUACAGACCUGUAAUGAUUUGUGGAUAUGAUCACAAUCAUUAAUGAACAUCUAAGGGAUUGAGUUAUG